rnacentral:rRNA from 1 species
CACGGGGGCAACCCUGGUGGCGAGUGGCGAACGGGUGAGUAAUGCAUCGGAACGUGCCCAGUUGUGGGGGAUAGCCCGGCGAAAGCCGGAUUAAUACCGCAUACGACCUGAGGGUGAAAGCGGGGGACCGAAAGGCCUCGCGCAAUUGGAGCGGCCGAUAUCUGAUUAGCUAGUUGGUGGGGUAAGAGCCCACCAAGGCGACGAUCAGUAGCUGGUCUGAGAGGACGACCAGCCACACUGGGACUGAGACACGGCCCAGACUCCUACGGGAGGCAGCAGUGGGGAAUUUUGGACAAUGGGGGCAACCCUGAUCCAGCAAUGCCGCGUGUGUGAAGAAGGCCUUCGGG